GCGGAGAACUCGCAGAUCUCCAUCACAUGUUCAGGCCGCCCAUAAGAAGAGUAUGUCAGCCGCAGAGUCUUGUCAUGGGUGCUUGGAAUGUCCUGCAGGUGUCUUUUUACUAAAGUGUCAAUAAAUGGAGGUAUCUGUAUGAUGUACUGGUAAAGGCCUGGUAAAUGAGCCUAAUACAGUGUACGUACAUGCUGUGACAUCCAAU